AUGAACGCUAGCUACAGGCUUAACACAUGCAAGUCGAGGGGCAGCAUGGUCUUAGCUUGCUAAGGCCGAUGGCGACCGGCGCACGGGUGAGUAACGCGUAUCCAACCUGCCUUACACUCUUGGACAGCCUUCUGAAAGGGAGAUUAAUACAAGAUGUUAUCAUGAGUAAGCAUUUUCGCAUGAUUAAAGGUUUACCGGUGUAAGAUGGGGAUGCGUUCCAUUAGAUAGUAGGCGGGGUAACGGCCCACCUAGUCUUCGAUGGAUAGGGGUUCUGAGAGGAAGGUCCCCCACAUUGGAACUGAGACACGGUCCAAACUCCUACGGGAGGCAGCAGUGAGGAAUAUUGGUCAAUGGACGAGAGUCUGAACCAGCCAAGUAGCGUGAAGGAUGAAGGUUUUAUGGAUUGUAAACUUCUUUUAUACGGGAAUAAACGAAUCCACGUGUGGAUUUUUGCAUGUACCGUAUGAAUAAGGAUCGGCUAACUCCGUGCCAGCAGCCGCGGUAAUACGGAGGAUCCGAGCGUUAUCCGGAUUUAUUGGGUUUAAAGGGAGCGUAGAUGGGUUGUUAAGUCAGUUGUGAAAGUUUGCGGCUCAACCGUAAAAUUGCAAUUGAUACUGGCAGUCUUGAGUACAGUUGAGGUAGGCGGAAUUCGUGGUGUAGCGGUGAAAUGCUUAGAUAUCACGAAGAACUCCGAUUGCGAAGGCAGCUUACUAACCUGUAACUGACAUUGAUGCUCGAAAGUGUGGGUAUCAAACAGGAUUAGAUACCCUGGUAGUCCACACGGUAAACGAUGAAUACUCGCUGUAGGCGAUAUACACUCUGCGGCCAAGCGAAAGCAUUAAGUAUUCCACCUGGUGAGUACGCCGGCAACGGUGAAACUCAAAGGAAUUGACGGGGGCCCGCACAAGCAGUGGAGUAUGUGGUUUAAUUCGACGCAACGCGAAGAACCUUACCUAGACUUGACAUCUCCUGCAUUACUCUUAAUCGAGGAAGUCCCUUCGGGGACAGGAUGACAGGUGGUGCAUGGUUGUCGUCAGCUCGUGUCGUGAGAUGUUGGGUUAAGUCCCGCAACGAGCGCAACCCUUAUCCUUUGUUGCCAGCGGUCCGGCCGGGAACUCAAAGGAGACCGCCAGUGAUAAACUGGAGGAAGGUGGGGAUGACGUCAAAUCAUCAUGCCCUUUAUGACUUGGGCUACACACGUACUACAAUGGAUGUAAACAGAGGGAAGCAAAAUAGCGAUAUGGAGCAAACCCCUAAAAGCAUUCUCAGUUCAGAUUGCAGGCUGCAACUCGCCUGUAUGAAGUUGGAAUUGCUAGUAAUCGCGGAUCAGCAUGCCGCGGUGAAUACGUUCCCGGGCCUUGUACACACCGCCCGUCACACCAUGAGAGUCGGGAAUACCCGAAGCCUGUGAGCCAACAUAUUUAUAUGAGGCAGCAGUCGAAGGUAGAAUCGAUGAUUGGGGUG
rnacentral:rRNA from 1 species